rnacentral:tRNA from 1 species
GUGGCUGAAAAUGCAAUCACGAUGAACCGGAGAGCGCAUCGUUCGCAACGAUGAGGUCGUCGGUUCGAUCCCGACUAGCUCCACCA